CAGGAGAUGGUGGAAUCACCCAGACACCUAGAUACUGGAUCACACAGACCUCAAGAAAGAUAAUCCUGAACUAUUCUCAGGAUAUGAACCACUAUCGGAUGUUCUGGUAUCAACAAGAUGCAGGGCAGGGGUUGAAGCUGAUCCAUUACUCAGUAGGCACUGACAGAACUACCAAAAGUGAUGUCCCUGAAGGGUACAGUGCCUUCAGAAAUGAGAUACAGAGCUUUCCCCUGACAUUAGAGUCAACCAGUUCCAACCAGACCUCCAUGUACUUCUGGGCCAGCAGUGAACAAA